UGGCCGGUGGAGNNAUGUCUGGGAAACUGCCUGAUGGAGGGGGANAACUACUGGAAACGGUAGCUAAUACCGCGCACGUCGCAAGACCAAAGAGGGGGACCUUNGGGCCUCUUGCCAUCGGAUGUGCNNAGAUGGGAUUNGCUAGUAGGUGGGGUAACGGCUCACCUAGGCGACGAUCCCUAGCUGGUCUGAGAGGAUGACCAACCACACUGGAACUGAGNCNNGGUCCAACUCNCNACGGGAGGCAGCAGUGGGGAAUAUUGCACAAUGGGCGCAAGCCUGAUGCAGCCAUGCCGCGUGUAUGAAGAAGGCCUUCGGGUUGUAAAGUACUUUCAGCGGGGAGGAAGGGAGUAAAGUUAAUACCUUUGCUCAUUGACGUUACCCGCAGAAGAAGCACCGGCUAACUCCGUGCCAGCAGCCGCGGUAAUACGGAGGGUGCAAGCGUUAAUCGGAAUUACUGGGCGUAAAGCGCACGCAGGCGGUUUGUUAAGUCANAUGUGAAAUCCCCGGGCUCAACCUGGGAACUGCAUCUGAUACUGGCAAGCUUGAGUCUCGUAGAGGGGGGUAGAAUUCCAGGUGUAGCGGUGAAAUGCGUAGAGAUCUGGAGGAAUACCGGUGGCGAANGCGGCCCCCUGGACGAAGACUGACGCUCAGGUGCGAAAGCGUGGGGGAGCAAACAGGAUUU
rnacentral:rRNA from 1 species